GCCGGUGUGAUGGAAUUGGCAGACGUGCUUGACUCAAAAUCAAGUGUCCAUUGGACGUGCCGGUUCGAGUCCGGCCACCGGCACCA
rnacentral:tRNA from 1 species